GGACAUAUCAGCGGUGCAAACCUGAAUCCGGCCGUUUGUUUACAUACCCGUAGCUAGUCACGCGAAACGUCAACGUGCUAAAGGCAAUUUUUUAUAUGACAGCACAAUGCGCCGGUGUCAUCACAGGCGCUGGUAUUUUAUACGGAUUAACCCCAUAUGAGGCGCACGGCCUAUUAGGGGUUACAACGGUUCAUGCCGAAAUGACAAAAGGUCAAGCUUUUGGUGUAGAAUUUAUGAUAACGUUUAUUAUGGUAUUUACGUUUUUUGCUAACCUUGACCCCAAACGUUCAGAUAUGGGCUCACGAUCACUUUCUACCGGAUUAUCUGUUACACUUGGACAAUUAUUUGCAGUAAGUCUGAUUACACUUUAUCAAUUUUCUUUCCGGAUUAUCUGUUAGACUUGGACAAUUAUUUGCAAUCAUUAAAUUAGAAUGUCAAGUGAACAAAACUGAGCAUUUUCGAUACCAUUUGCUUUUUGCAUUUAAUCGAGGUGUUAAAGCCACAGAAACUGCUCAUGAGAUUUGAACUGUCUAUGGAGAAGGAGCAAUGCUUCAAUAUACCGUCCGCCUUUGUUUUUCGCGCUUCAAAAAUGGGAGUUUGGGCCUCAAAGACGUAUCACACGCCAGUCAACCAACUGAGUUCAAUGAAGUGCGAUUGAAUCAACUUCUUCACGAAAAUGCAUGUAAAACGACUGGAGAAUUGGCGGUGUAGAUGGAUUGAGAUAAAAAAGACUAUGAUGAACCACUUUCACUCAAUCGGCAAGGUUCAGGAACUUGGCGCUUGGAUGCCUCACACUUUGAGCGAAAACAACAACAAUCAACGCUCCACAAUCACCACCAGUUUGCUCGCCCGACAUCGCUCAACACAUCGUCACAAACAACGUUUUCUUUACCGCGUUGUCACCGGCGUCGAAAAAUGGUGCAUUUACGUCAAUAUGAAGCAGCGAAAAGAAUGGCUCAGACCCGACAAAAAAGCAACUCCGAGAGCUAAGCAAGACCUUCACCCUCUAAAGAGUAUAUUUUGUGUAUGAUGGGUCUGGGAAGGAGGCAAAAUUCAUUACGAACUGCUUGGGCGCAACCAAACACUCAAUGCAGAUCUCUACAUUCUACAACUGCACCGGCUCAACAAAGUAAUUCAUCAAAAAAGACCGAAUAUGCGUUCUUCUGCAAGACGACAACGCCUGUCAACACAUCGCCAAUAUGAUCAAACCCGUGUAUCAAGAACUCAAAUGGGAAGCGCUGCCCAAUCCUCUCCAGAUUUAGCGCUGUCAGAUUUUCACCUCUUUCGACCGCUUUCGAACGCUUUGCUCAGAGUAUCAUUCAGUAAUGACGUGGAAUUGAGGUCUUAGUUGGACGAAUUGUUUUAGUCGAGACCGGGAAAUUUCUAACGCCGAUGCAUCGAAGACGGAAACAAUAAUGUCAUUUAACUGCGGCCAUGCAGGAGCACCGCAUUUAGUCGAAGAAACCGACCCCAGGACUUAUUCUUUUCAUUGGACAGCGACCAUACUGGAACACCGCCUCUAAAUGAUCGUUAUUCGAUGGAUAUCGACUGGUGAAAUAAAUAUGUUUA